UGACCGCUAGCGGGAGGCCUAACACAUGCAAGCCGAGCGGUAUUUGUUCUUCGGAACAGAGAGAGCGGCGCACGGGUGCGGAACACGUGUGCAACCUGCCUUUAUCUGGGGGAUAGCCUUUCGAAAGGAAGAUUAAUACCCCAUAAUAUAUUGAGUGGCAUCAUUUGAUAUUGAAAACUCCGGUGGAUAGAGAUGGGCACGCGCAAGAUUAGAUAGUUGGUGAGGUAACGGCUCACCAAGUCAAUGAUCUUUAGGGGGCCUGAGAGGGUGAUCCCCCACACUGGUACUGAGACACGGACCAGACUCCUACGGGAGGCAGCAGUGAGGAAUAUUGGACAAUGGGUUAGCGCCUGAUCCAGCCAUCCCGCGUGAAGGACGACGGCCCUAUGGGUUGUAAACUUCUUUUGUAUAGGGAUAAACCUACUCUCGUGAGAGUAGCUGAAGGUACUAUACGAAUAAGCACCGGCUAACUCCGUG
rnacentral:rRNA from 1 species